rnacentral:rRNA from 1 species
UACGAAGGGGGCUAGCGUUGUUCGGAAUCACUGGGCGUAAAGCGCACGUAGGCGGACAUUUAAGUCAGGGGUGAAAUCCCGGGGCUCAACCCUGGAACUGCCUUUGAUACUGAGGACCUUGAGUUCGGGAGAGGUGAGUGGAACUGCGAGUGUAGAGGUGAAAUUCGUAGAUAUUCGCAAGAACACCAGUGGCGAAGGCGGCUCACUGGCCCGAUACUGACGCUGAGGUGCGAAAGCGUGGGAGCAAACAGG